rnacentral:lncRNA from 10 species
GGGAAGUGGGGAGGUCAGGAUGGUGGCGCCCGCGGCUCGGGUCUUCCUCCGGGCAGUGCGCGCGGCUCUCACUUCCACGGUCCCGGACCUGCUCUGCCUCCUGGCCCGAGGCUCCCCGCGUGGCCUCGCGUCUGGUCGCCUACCCCUCGCGGUCCACUCCGCCCAGCAUGGACCUGGAUCCGGGGCGCCUUGGUUGCGAAUUGCCAGGAGGGCCCUGAGAUUUGUGUUGUCAAAACACUGGGGGGAUGAUUGUUACCUGACAAACCGCCUCUGGCAGGACCUGAAGCCUCCCAGUCACGUCGAGAACGGGCAGGAGCUCAGGUUGGCGCCGCCGGUGCAGUGGGCAUUACAGGUGCAAGGGAACCAGUUGCAAACUGCAGUGCUGUGCUUGAGGAUGGCUCCUCCUGAGCCGGCAGGCUCCCGGUAGGCGCGGUCCAGGCACGUUACCCCUCCCGCCAGGAGCUCCCGAGCCGAGCCACUCGCCCCCUACCAGUUAUCCCACCCACCCCUUCGCCCACACUGCUCCCCCACCACUCUUCCUACAAACCACACCCCCAUCCUGCACACAUCCUCUUCAGGCCAUCUCAACACACGCACACGCACACACACCCACGACCACCUCUCCCUCCACCCACAGACACCCCGUUCCCACAGGCUGGGCCCCCUGCAACGACCCAGCGGGGGGUUUCAACCUUGUUGCGACUCCACAUGGGACAUCCUAAUUCAGUCCAGGACAGAUAUUUUUAAUCAAUUACUAUAGAGCUGAAAAACAGAGAGAGAGAGAAAGCAGCCGGGUUGGGCAAGCCGUCGACAGUCUGCGACAUUUUUGCGCUUCCUGGGAGGGAAUUCCUCCAAGAAGAGGGGUAAAUGAGAGGCCCACACGCUGGAUGGCAAACACAAACACUGUCAGAUCAGAUGGCAACCUUUAGGGUUCCUUUACGAUCAGAUCAGUUUAAAUGAAAAAAAAAUCGGGUGUAAUUUUUAUCACCAGGGAGCACUGGCCUGGAGUAUUUCCAUUUCUAAAGAGCGGUUCCCGCUGUGGUUUCAUUAGCAUUUGGGGCUCAUCCUCCCUCCCCCUCCCUUGACCCACCCCCCUCCCCCCGCCGGACCUCUGCCAGGGGCAGAAGAGAAAACAGCCAGUUAUUAUACAAACAUCCUCAGUUUGGAGCUGGAGUGUCUGCUCUGGAUACAGUCGAUUCUGACAUCAAUUAAAUAUAUAACCAGACACGUGCAGUGGCGGGGAGGGUCCCCUCACCCAGGGUGCAUCUCCAGAAACGCCGCCUGCCCUUCCCCCUCUUUAGCUCAGUGUUGGGAGUUUGAAGAUGGCCUCUUCCCGUCCUGUGUGUAUUUUCCCCUUAGCAAUUAUACUCCUCCACUGAAAUCUAUAUGUUCCAUACCGCUGCUGCCUGUUACUAAUAAAAACCGUCUACCUUGCACUAUU